UGCGUCUAAAUGGAAUAAAGACGUAAACGAAAACUGCACAGAACCUUGUUCGUAAAAACGCAGAAGACAGUUUGCAGUUGUAAAUGAAAUCAAGACGUAAACGUAAAUUGCACAGAACCUUGUUCGUUAAAGCGCAGAAGACAGUUUGCAGUUGUAAAUGAAAUCAAGACGUAAACGUAAACUGCAGAGAAUUCGUUCGUAAAAGCGCAGAGAGCAGAGGCUAAGUAGGAGGUUUGCAGUAAUGAUAAAGUGCUCAAAAUAAACGCAAACCAGAGAUUUAGAGUGGUUCGGUCAGUCUUGACCUACUCCACUUUUGGCUUCCUCCACCGAUGAGGUCACCGACGUCAACUAGAAGCCUUCCUUCAAUAGGCGAAGGCCAACUACCCUCUUACAGAUUCACUCCUUUUGA
rnacentral:lncRNA from 1 species